UACGUAGGCAGCGAGCGUUUGUUCGGAGUUACUGGGCGUAAAGCGUGCGUAGGCGGUGGUCCAAGUCUGGUGUGAAAUCUCCCGGCUUAACUGGGAGGGUGCGCCGGAAACUGGGCUGCUGGAGUACGGGAGAGGCAAGCGGAAUUCCAGGUGUAGCGGUGAAAUGCGCAGAUAUCAGGAGGAACACCGGUGGCGAAGGCGGGUCUCUGGGCCGAUACUGACGCUGAGGAGCGAAAGCGUGGGGAGCGAACAGG
rnacentral:rRNA from 1 species